GAUGAACGCUAGCGGCAGGCCUAACACAUGCAAGUCGAGGGGUAGAAGGAGCUUGCUCCUUUGAGACCGGCGCACGGGUGCGUAACGCGUAUGCAAUCUACCUUGUACAGGGGAAUAGCCCAGAGAAAUUUGGAUUAAUGCCCCAUAGUAUAUAACCUUCGCAUGUUGGUUAUAUUAAAGUUCCAACGGUACAAGAUGAGCAUGCGUCCCAUUAGUUAGUUGGUAAGGUAACGGCUUACCAAGACGAUGAUGGGUAGGGGUCCUGAGAGGGAGAUCCCCCACACUGGUACUGAGACACGGACCAGACUCCUACGGGAGGCAGCAGUGAGGAAUAUUGGUCAAUGGUCGCAAGACUGAACCAGCCAUGCCGCGUGCAGGAAGACGGUCCUAUGGAUUGUAAACUGCUUUUANAUGGGAAGAAACCUUCGGAUGCGUUCGAAGCUGACGGUACCAUAUGAAUAAGGAUCGGGCUAACUUCGUGCCAGCAGCCG
rnacentral:rRNA from 1 species